UACGGAGGGGGCUAGCGUUGUUCGGAAUUACUGGGCGUAAAGCGCACGUAGGCGGCUUUGUAAGUUAGAGGUGAAAGCCCAGAGCUCAACCCUGGAAUUGCCUUUAAGACUGCAUCGCUUGAACAUCGGAGAGGUAAGUGGAAUUCCGAGUGUAGAGGUGAAAUUCGUAGAUAUUCGGAAGAACACCAGUGGCGAAGGCGACUUACUGGACGAUUGUUGACGCUGAGGUGCGAAAGCGUGGGGAGCAAACAGG
rnacentral:rRNA from 1 species